GGCUCCGCAGGCCUCGCCCGCACCUGCACGGCGCGGGGAGGGUCUGGAUAGGGUGGGCGGGAGGAUGAGCGCGUCUCUUUGGUGCGAAGGGCACGGCCCCCCCGAGGCACAGCCUCGAGAACGCGCUCAACGGGGGCAGGAGAACGUGCUUGAGGUCCCAGCAGCGAGGGAAUCCCGUAUCAUUUAAGCGUUCCAAGCAACAGGUAACGCCGAAGCAGCUGUCAGAAUGGCACUGGGUUGAAAUGAAAACAAUGCUGGUACUUUAUCACUUCUGGUAAUUGUUACCUACAACAGUCAGUGACCAUCUGCUCAACACUACAAGAGGCUUGUUUUCCAAACAUGAGUUCCAGUAAGCUGAAUUACAAAUGAGAUCAGUUUGAAUGCAUUAGAAAGAUCACAUGGUGUAUUUCUGGAGGAAGCGGUCAAACGCAUCAUAAAUUGCUUGUCUGAAAAAAGGAAAAGAGAAGAGAAUUUGUGUUAUUUGGGAAAAGGCAGAUAUAAGUGGCAUUUUUCCAUAUAUUUACAAAUAUAUCUACAAAGCUAUCAAUUUCAAAACUGUGUUCAAUAAAAAUGUGGUAUCAGGUGA